rnacentral:rRNA from 1 species
UACGUAGGUGACAAGCGUUGUCCGGAAUCAUUGGGCGUAAAGAGCGUGUAGGCGGCCCGGUAAGUCCGCUGUGAAAGUCCAGGGCUCAACCCUGGAAUGCCGGUGGAAACUGUCGGGCUAGAGUCCGGAAGAGGCGAGUGGAAUUCCUGGUGUAGCGGUGAAAGUGCGCAGAUAUCAGGAGGAACACCGGUGGCGAAGGCGGGUCUCUGGGCCGUAACUGACGCUGAGGAGCGAAAGCAUGGGGAGCGAACAGG